rnacentral:rRNA from 1 species
CCUACGGGUGGCUGCAGUGGGGAAUAUUGGACAAUGGGGGCAACCCUGAUCCAGCCAUGCCGCGUGUGUGAAGAAGGCCCUCGGGUUGUAAAGCACUUUCAGUGAGGAAGAACGCCUGGUGGUUAAUACCCAUCAGGAAAGACAUCACUCACAGAAGAAGCACCGGCUAACUCCGUGCCAGCAGCCGCGGUAAUACGGAGGGUGCGAGCGUUAAUCGGAAUUACUGGGCGUAAAGCGCGCGUAGGUGGCUUGAUAAGCCGGUUGUGAAAGCCCCGGGCUCAACCUGGGAAUGGCAUCCGGAACUGUCAAGCUAGAGUGCAGGAGAGGAAGGUAGAAUUCCCGGUGUAGCGGUGAAAUGCGUAGAGAUCGGGAGGAAUACCAGUGGCGAAGGCGGCCUUCUGGACUGACACUGACACUGAGGUGCGAAAGCGUGGGUAGCAAACAGGAUUAGAUACCCCGGUAGUC